AUCUACCCUCUGAGUGACAGGAAGCCAGUGUAAAGACUUCAGAACUGGAGUGAUGUGAUCUACUUUCUUGGUCUUAGUGAGGACUCGAGCAGCAGAGUUUUGAAUCAGCUGCAGUUGUCUGAGUGUUUUUUUAGGUAAACCUGUAAAGAUACUGUUACAGUAAUCAAGCUGAGUGAAGAUGAACGCAUGGACGAGCUUUUCCAAGGUUAAGGUGUGUGGCAGAGGCUGACAGCAGGUGUGGGUGAUUCCAAUCUACUGAUCGUGUGCAGGUGGGAGUCGUCUAAUCAAGCUGGCUGGCUUCCCUUUAAAAAGUGACUCAACUCAUCACUUAGUGCUGGACCGUCUCCUAACUAACAGUUAACUUAUCCACUUGGCUGAGGCUUCCUGGCUUCCAGUGGACCUUGGGAUUCUCUGGGGAUUCUCUGAGGCAGAGGAGGGCUCAGGCUGCUGUCACGCCACGUGUGAGCCUGCCACACCACGAGGACGCCAUUCCACUGGGACUGGUAACCACCAUCGCCGUCAAUCUACCUGGAUGCCACAGUUUCCACCGGUUGGCUUUCAAAACACCUGGAACGGGUCAUUGAUGGUUUCCAGAACCAUAAACUCUAGAGAGGCUGUCAGCUAAGUUCUCGCUCUUGCUACACCAGAUAAUAGAGUUUCUUUACUGAUUGCCGGUUGUAAUUUUCUGCUAAAGUUAUGUGGGAUUCUGGGAUUAGUGUUUGGGAAUUUCUAGUAGUCUAGGAUGUCAGUUAUUUCGGGUUAGUGUUUAGUUGUUAUCCUGCCUUGGUGGUACCAAUCGUGGGUUAGCAGUUUGUUUUGUUUCUGCACUCGGUCCGCCUUUCUCCUAGGGGCAGUCUAGUUCUGUUACGCCUUCAGCAUAUUCAUGUAGUUUCCAGUUUAUGAAUUCUGUUUCCUGUUGAAGUUUAUUUUCCUGAGUCUUUGUACAAUAAAUCUUGUUAAAAUCA